CUUGGUCAUUUAGAGGAAGUAAAAGUCGUAACAAGGUUUCCGUAGGUGAACCUGCGGAAGGAUCAUUACAGAGUUCAUGCCCUUCGGGGUAGAUCUCCCACCCUUGUGUAUCAUUAUAGAAUGUUGCUUUGGCGGGCCGCGCCUAGUGUGCCUGGAUUCGCGUCCAGCGUGCCCGCCAGAGGACCCCUAAACUCUGAAUGUUAGUGUCGUCUGAGUACUAUUAAAUAGUUAAAACUUUCAACAACGGAUCUCUUGGUUCUGGCAUCGAUGAAGAACGCAGCGAAAUGCGAUAAGUAAUGUGAAUUGCAGAAUUCAGUGAAUCAUCGAAUCUUUGAACGCACAUUGCGCCCCCUGGUAUUCCGGGGGGCAUGCCUGUUCGAGCGUCAUUUAUACCAAUCUAGCCUGGCUAGGUGUUGGGCUUCGCCGUCUGGCGGGCCUUAAAACUAGUGGCGGUGCUCUUAGGCUCUACGCGUAGUAAUUUUCUCGCUAUAGGGUCCUGGGAGAUGCUUGCCAGCAACCCCAAAUUUUUCUAGGUUGACCUCGGAUCAGGUAGGGAUACCCGCUGAACUUAAGCAUAUCAAUAAGCGGAGGA
rnacentral:rRNA from 1 species